rnacentral:sRNA from 1 species
UUUUUUCUAUGUCAGAACAGACAGAUAAUAGUCAAGUGUAGCAUCUCCUCUCAUGAGAGAAACAGAUGAUGGCAAAAAUGUCAUGGGAAACUUGUUAUAUGUGCCCUUGGACUACAACAUACUAGAUUUUACAGACCAUGCAGACUCAGUCUUUCGACCUGUCACUGACCCAUCGUCUUUAUCCUUCAUGCCAUCUUCAACCCUGAGCAAUGACACCUAUGAUGACCCCCCUCCCCCCAAUCAUACAAGUUCACAGCAAUCUUACUACAAUCUGAAUCAAAAUUGUUUACUUAAACCGAACUGACAAUCUAGAAAGGUUAUAACAAGGACUUAUGGAAGACUUUUUUGACAAUUUUCCUUGGCACCUGGCCCACUGCCAAAGAGCAUGCUUUACAUGUACAUCCAUAAUAAACACAAACCAAUGCAAACAUGGCCAGCCAAGCGACGACCUAUAUAUCAUGUUUCGGUCUUAUUCUAGAAUACUUACAGUCGUCAGAGUAUGCAAUCUGUACCACAGGGGCGGGGCCGUCGUCCUGGGGGACAGGAGUUACAUCUUUCCACUCUUCCCGGUCCCUAUAAGGAACCCAAGUGGAUCUACUAUCGUCAGAAUCGCUUUCCGACAUGGCGCGUAAGCGACGGCGAAACUCAAAAGGAAUGGUUCCGGAGAACUUGGAGGGAAAAGUCCGAAAAGUUCCGAUAACUGACGUACAACGAACCCGACCAAUAAAAAAAAUUUAAUAUAUCCAUAAAAGUCCUACUGACAAUGGAUUCAAAUUUGUUAUGAUUAAUUUAUGUAGGGAUUCGCUGUGAUGUUUAUUUAAUAAACUUAAGACAUUUCAU